UACGGGGGGAGCAAGGCGUUGUUCGGAUUUACUGGGCGUAAAGGGCGCAGUAGGCGGUCAGUGCAAGUCAGUUGUGAAAUCUCCGGGCUUAACUCGGAAAGGUCAACUGAUACUGCUCGACUAGAGUGCGGAAGGGGCAACUGGAAUUCUUGGUGUAGCGGUGAAAUGCGUAGAUAUCAAGAGGAACACCUGCGGCGAAGGCGGGUUGCUGGGCCGACACGUGACGCUGGAUGCGCGAAAGCUAGGGGAGCGAACGGG
rnacentral:rRNA from 1 species